AUGGCUGCAGGCACACCGCGCUGGGCCUUGAGCUGGCCUGGGCUGCGGCCCCUGUGUCCUAUGUGCUGCCAACCUGCAGCGCCACGUGACCUUCCUAUGCCACCCUGGGGAGCCAUGUGGAAAGCCAAAAUGCCCCCUCAGAGUCUCCCAGGGAGAGCAGUGGGUGGAGAGGAGAGGCAAGCCGCGGUGGAAGAACUGGGGCUUUGUUUUCUUCACCGUGGAGUCUGUGGCUGUGCGAGACUAUCCCGGGGUGCUCUCCCCACUCCCCAGCCUGGUGCCAUGGGCUCGUCUGACUUGCACCAACACACCAGCCGUCCUGGAAUCACCUACUUUCCCACACCCUCUCUGCGCGGAGGAUGUCUUUUCCCGUCGCCUGGACGAAAAGACCCCGCGUUUGGCAGUAUCUGCUUCUGUCCGUCGCUGAACACGGAGAGUACGGCUGACGGCGUGCGGACUGUUGCCGUCACACCAACAACCUAGUGCGGAGAAGCCGGUGUCGAGCAAGCCGUGCAGAACCGCCCUGUCCCGUGGAACUUUCGGAGACAGUCCAAAGGUUCCAGAUCUGAACUGCCAAGGCAGUAGCCCCUAGUCCCAUGUGACUGGUUGAAGUUUUGAGCACUUCAGCCGUGGCUAGUGCUACUGAGAAGCCGAAUUUUAAAUUCCAUUUCAUUUCGUCAACUCAGAUUGAAAUUUCAAUAGUCACACGUGGCUAGCGGCUGCUCCUUCUACAACAGAGCUCCAAGUCACAGCCCCGUCCCCUCACUCUGAGUUAACAUGCUGUCAGAGCACUUACUAUAUUUAUUCAAAAUCAUGAGCUCGUUUUUGGUCAUCUGUCUCUCCGCUUGGCAAGGGCGCUAAUCUGGUUUCCUUAAACGCAGAGCCCAACACGAAAGCUUGCUUGCAGGCUGCUUAGUUGGGAAUGAGAUCCUGGAGGAAACCAAUAAAAAAAUGCUUUAUCAGGGACACCAGAGUGGUUCAAUUGGUUAAGUGUCUGUCUUCAGCUCAGGUAUGAUCCCGGGGUCCUGGGAUCGAGUCCUGCAUCAGGCUUCCUGCUCAGCGGGGAGCCCGCUUCUCCCUCUGCCUCUGCCCCGGCUUUUGCUAUCUCAUUUUCAAGUAAAUAAAUAAAAUCUAAAAAAACCCAAA
rnacentral:lncRNA from 1 species